rnacentral:ncRNA from 2 species
CGGCGCCCUCGAUUCCGCGGUGGCCCCUGGACCCAGUUCCCGGGGCUGAAACGGGAAGACCGGUGCGCCGAUCGUCCGCGAUCGGUCAGUCCGGCGCUGCCCCCGCAACGGUAGACGAGUCAGGGCGCGACCUGAUGCCACUGUGUCGAUCACGGGAAGGCGUCGCGUCCGGGGCCAUGCCGGCCCGCUCGUGAGCCCGGAGACCGGCCUCGGAAUCACUGGUCCU